GCCGCCCGCGCCCCCCGCGCGGCGGGGUCCCCGGAAGGCCGGCCGGCCGCCCGCUCUCCCCGACAGGAAAUCCUGGCUGGGCUGGGCGCUGCGGAGGGAGCCGCGGCGCCGGGUUCCGGGGGAAGUGGAAUUAUUUUUUACCAGCGAAGAGAUCAACUUCCACAUCCGUGGUUACCUGGGAGAGACCGACUCCCUCCCACAUGGCCACACCCUCGGAUCUGGGAGUUGUGAAGUCACCCCUGAGCCUCCUCCAGGCUGAACCCUCAGCUGCUCCUCACAGAACUUGUGUUCCAGGUCCCUUACCAGCUUCAUUGCCCUUCUCUGGACCUGCUCCAGCCCCAAAAUAUCCUUCUUAAAUUAAAGGUCUGAGAACUGGAUUCAGUAUUCCGGGUGUGGCCUCACCAGUUGCAAAUAUGGGGGAAGGUGCAUUUUGGGAUCAUAGAAAUAGGACUUGAUAGGAUGACAGCUCCAAAACAGUCUUCAGUUGUUGCUGCUCCUUCAGAGGGCUCCGACCUUCAGUCCAAGGCUGGUACUGAACCUGACAGCCCAGGCCCUGAAACAUUUGUCUCCCAGUUUUGUUUCAACACUGCAAAAUGGUUGUGCUCGCAUUCUUCCCAAAGCUGUUGCAAGUCACACAUCUGCUACUGUGAAGCGUGGAUCUCAUAAUCAUCAUCCUUCAGGAAAACAUACCAACGACAAAAUUCCAGUCUGUUAUUUUGGGGAUUAUAAUACUCACUAGAUAAUCAGAGGAAUACCUGUUACAACGCUGUUUACAGAGCCAUUAUUAUUUGCCUUUGACCUACCUAAUGCAGCCUUGUACAAAACACAAAUAACAAUAUUCCAAGCAGUGACCGUU